AGUGAACGCUGGCGGUAGGCCUAACACAUGCGAGUCGAACGGCAGCACAGUAAGAGCUUGCUCUUACGGGUGGCGAGUGGCGGACGGGUGAGGAAUACAUCGGAAUCUACUUUUUCGCGGGGGAUAACGUAGGGAAACUUACGCUAAUACCGCAUACGACCUACGGGUGAAAGCAGGGGAUCUUCGGACCUUGCGCGAUUGAAUGAGCCGAUGUCGGAUUAGCUAGUUGGCGGGGUAAAGGCCCACCAAGGCGACGAUCCGUAGCUGGUCUGAGAGGAUGAUCAGCCACACUGGAACUGAGACACGGUCCAGACUCCUACGGGAGGCCGCAGUGGGGAAUAUUGGACAAUGGGCGCAAGCCUGAUCCAGCCAUACCGCGUGGGUGAAGAAGGCCUUCGGGUUGUAAAGCCCUUUUGUUGGGAAAGAAAAGCAGCAGGCUAAUACCCCGCUGUUCUGACGGUACCCAAAGAAUAAGCACCGGCUAACUUCGUG
rnacentral:rRNA from 1 species